CCUACGGGAGGCAGCAGUGAGGAAUAUUGGUCAAUGGACGAGAGUCUGAACCAGCCAAGUAGCGUGAAGGAUGACUGCCCUAUGGGUUGUAAACUUCUUUUAUAUGGGAAUAAAAUGGUCCAUGUGUGGGAUUUUGUAUGUACCAUAUGAAUAAGGAUCGGCUAACUCCGUGCCAGCAGCCGCGGUAAUACGGAGGAUCCGAGCGUUAUCCGGAUUUAUUGGGUUUAAAGGGAGCGUAGGUGGAUUGUUAAGUCAGUUGUGAAAGUUUGCGGCUCAACCGUAAAAUUGCAGUUGAAACUGGCAGUCUUGAGUACAGUAGAGGUGGGCGGAAUUCGUGGUGUAGCGGUGAAAUGCUUAGAUAUCACGAAGAACUCCGAUUGCGAAGGCAGUUCACUGGACUGCAACUGACACUGAGGCUCGAAAGUGUGGGUAUCAAACAGGAUUAGAUACCCUAGUAGUC
rnacentral:rRNA from 1 species